rnacentral:tRNA from 1 species
GGGGCAUUAGCUCAGUUGGCAGAGCAGCUGACUCUUAAUCAGCGGGUCUGGGGUUCGAAUCCCUAAUGCCCCACCA